CUCUCCUUUAUAUAAAAAAAAAAAAAAACUCUCUCUCUCUCUCUCUCUCGUGGCGGCGACGGCUGGGCUAGCGGCCACGCCCUUCGCCGGCGACGAGCACCCACCAGAGCUGAGUAGUUGACCUCCAUUACCCUCCGCCCCUGAUGUCGAGGCUGCGAGCUCUGUGUUAAGCUUCCUUCAACGCCACCAAGAGAGCUCUUGUAUGGAGUUCAGAUUAUCUAAUUCCACCAAGUGAAAGAUAUAUCUUCAAUUUCAACUCAAAAGAUGAGCUGAAACAGUGGCAUUUGUACUCAGAUUCAGAGUAUGGAGAAUAUGUCAAGAAGAUGCUCUGUUACAUUUCUGAAGGUUCACAGUAGAAAAAUGUAUUGCACUUCAAUCCUAUCAUGGUAGGCCCCCACUGUAGUUCUUGGGUACACCAAACACUUUUAGAAUCUCCUAGCCCUGAAUGUUCGUAAUUUACUAUCCUUUGAAAGGAAACAGAUUACAAAAUACUAGUAUACUAUGUAGAAGUAUAGCUAUCCAUCCAUUUGUCCUGUUCUCUCUUUGUUGCCAACAGAUUCUCCUUUUUUUUGUAUCGCCAUGACUUACAUGCAAGGAUUAUAACAAUCAUUAUAGCUGGCUACCUGUUACGGUGAGCCAAAUGGGAAUCUACUACCCCUUACAUUUUUUGCCUACUGGAUACUUGGUAAUGCAUAGACUAGUGUAUUUUGUUGUUAGUUUUGAAAUCAGUGGAUGAAAAGCUAAACAUUUUACACAGGUGAACCUUCCCCUUCUGUAUGAACAGGACUUAAGUAGUUUAGUCUAUUGUGUAGUGAUACAGUUGUGCCUUAAUAUAAUAUAUGACUGGACUUCCUAUUUCCCCUUGUUAAUUCAAUAGACUAUAGUUCUCUACACAGAUAAUACCUUGCGUAUCUAUUAGAUUUGUAUACCUUUUUAUGGCACCUUUUGGCUUUGCUAAUAUCUAGCUUCUUAUUUGCAUCUAUGAUAGAUUGUGAUUGGACAGAGUUGUUAUCCAGGUUUGUCAUCUGCAUCAUUGGAGAUAACUGAUGGCACUGCUGGUGGAGCUACUCCAUUAACUCGUACUAACUGUUAGAAUUGAUUAACUUUCUGGGAUAAGAGAAAGAAUAGUAGUUUCGUUCAUUUAGCAUAAUAAACCUCAUGUACUAUGAAAUGCCUUCUAGUGUUUGUUCUUAGAAACUGAGGCUCUGAGUAAGUCCAUUUUAUCAGUGAAUACCAGCUGCUGCCUUUGCUUUAGUAACUGAAUAGAAAUAUGCAGUUCUUUAA